rnacentral:lncRNA from 1 species
AGUACGUAGUCUUAUUGUUCAGACGAUUUUCAACCCGAGGAACACGGAGUUUGCCGAGGUGGUCACCAGCAGCGAAGCUCCUCGGAACCAACGCCGGACAACCCGUGUGCUGGCUGCCGAGCCUGCGGGUGGUGCGCUGGGCCUCCAGACCGGUCGUGAACGAGGGGGUCCCUGCCGGCCCAGUGGUGCCGGUCGCCCUUCAGCAGCAGCUGCUGCCUCAGGCGGUCCCCCUGCCACAGGAGGAGGCCCCUCCCGACGUAGCAGCGCAGCUGCUGCACCGGGCUC